rnacentral:rRNA from 1 species
UGCCCUUAGAUGUUCUGGGCCGCACGCGCGCUACACUGACAGAGCCAGCGAGUUCUUUUCCUUGGCCGGAAGGUCUGGGUAAUCUUGUGAAACUCUGUCGUGCUGGGGAUAGAGCAUUGCAAUUAUUGCUCUUCAACGAGGAAUACCUAGUAAGCGUGAGUCAUCAGCUCGCGUUGAUUACGUCCCUGCCCUUUGUACACACCGC